rnacentral:rRNA from 1 species
GACGAGGGGUCCUAGCGUUGUUCGGAAUCCCUGGGCGUAAAGCGUAUGUAGGCGGCUUUUCAAGUCAGGUGUGAAAUCCCACGGCUUAACCGUGGAACUGCAUUUGAAACUGUAAAGCUUGAGUAUUGGAGAGGAUGGUAGAAUUCCUGGUGUAGUGGUGAAAUACGUAGAUAUCAGGAGGAAUACCGGUGGCGAAGGCGGCCAUCUGGCCAAAUACUGACGCUGAGAUACGAAAGUGUGGGGAUCAAACAGG